rnacentral:lncRNA from 1 species
AUGGAGCCACACAGCCAAGCCAGUGAGUCAACACAACAGACAGCUCAGUCUAUGGAACCACACAGCCAAGCCAGUGAGUCAACACAACAGACAGCUCAGUCUAUGGAGCCACACAGCCAAGCCAGUGAGUCAACACAACAGACAGCUCAGUCUAUGGAACCACACAGCCAAGCCAGUGAGUCAACACAACAGACAGCUCAGUCUAUGGAACCACACAGCCAAGCCAGUGAGUCAACACAACAGACAGCUCAGUCUAUGGAGCCACACAGCCAAGCCAGUGAGUCAACACAACAGACAGCUCAGUCUAUGGAACCACACAGCCAAGCCAGUGAGUCAACACAACAGACAGCUCAGUCUAUGGAGCCACACAGCCAAGCCAGUGAGUCAACACAACAGACAGCUCAGUCUAUGGAACCACACAGCCAAGCCAGUGAGUCAACACAACAGACAGCUCAGUCUAUGGAGCCACACAGCCAAGCCAGUGAGUCAACACAACAGACAGCUCAGUCUAUGGAGCCACACAGCCAAGCCAGUGAGUCAACACAACAGACAGCUCAGUCUAUGGAACCACACAGCCAAGCCAGUGAGUCAACACAACAGACAGCUCAGUCUAUGGAACCACACAGCCAAGCCAGUGAGUCAACACAACAGACAGCUCAGUCUAUGGAACCACACAGCCAAGCCAGUGAGUCAACACAACAGACAGCUCAGUCUAUGGAACCACACAGCCAAGCCAGUGAGUCAACACAACAGACAGCUCAGUCUAUGGAACCACACAGCCAAGCCAGUGAGUCAACACAACAGACAGCUCAGUCUAUGGAACCACACAGCCAAGCCAGUGAGUCAACACAACAGACAGCUCAGUCUAUGGAACCACACAGCCAAGCCAGUGAGUCAACACAACAGACAGCUCAGUCUAUGGAACCACACAGCCAAGCCAGUGAGUCAACACAACAGACAGCUCAGUCUAUGGAACCACACAGCCAAGCCAGUGAGUCAACACAACAGACAGCUCAGUCUAUGGAACCACACAGCCAAGCCAGUGAGUCAACACAACAGACAGCUCAGUCUAUGGAGCCACACAGCCAAGCCAGUGAGUCAACACAACAGACAGCUCAGUCUAUGGAACAACAUUUAGAUCUCUCUAGACUGAGAGGCCUAUCUGAGAUUUGGGCACUGCAGAGUCAAGGUGUAGUCUAUCCUUGA